rnacentral:rRNA from 1 species
CAUGUAGGCGGAUUAAUAAGUUUGAGGUGAAAUCCUAUAGCUUAACUAUAGAACUGCUUUGAAAACUGUUAAUCUAGAAUGUGGGAGAGGUAGAUGGAAUUUCUGGUGUAGGGUAAAAUCCGUAGAGAUCAGAAGGAAUACCGAUUGCGAAGGCGAUCUACUGGAACAUUAUUGACGCUGAGAUGCGAAAGCGUGGGGAGCAAACA